CCUUCAUUGAUGAGCAAAACUCAUGACUUUCGUUCUUCUGAGAUUGCUGAAGCAACUCUUCUUCUGAGAAGG